rnacentral:rRNA from 1 species
GACGAACGCUGGCGGCGUGCCUAAUACAUGCAAGUCGAACGCACGAAGUUGAAGAGCUUGCUCUUUAACCAAGUGAGUGGCGGACGGGUGAGUAACACGUGGGUAACCUGCCCAUUAGAGGGGAUAACAUUCGGAAACGGAUGCUAAUACCGCAUAGUUUCAGGGAUCGCAUGAUUCUUGAAGGAAAGGUGGCUCCGGCUACCACUAAUGGAUGGACCCGCGGCGUAUUAGCUAGUUGGUGAGGUAAUGGCUCACCAAGGCAAUGAUACGUAGCCGACCUGAGAGGGUGAUCGGCCACACUGGGACUGAGACACGGCCCAGACUCCUACGGGAGGCAGCAGUAGGGAAUCUUCCGCAAUGGACGAAAGUCUGACGGAGCAACGCCGCGUGAGUGAAGAAGGUUUUCGGAUCGUAAAACUCUGUUGUUAAAGAAGAACAAGGAUGAGAGUAACUGCUCAUCCCCUGACGGUAUUUAACCAGAAAGCCACGGCUAACUACGUGCCAGCAGCCGCGGUAAUACGUAGGUGGCAAGCGUUGUCCGGAUUUAUUGGGCGUAAAGCGAGCGCAGGCGGUUCUUUAAGUCUGAUGUGAAAGCCCCCGGCUCAACCGGGGAGGGUCAUUGGAAACUGGAGAACUUGAGUGCAGAAGAGGAGAGUGGAAUUCCACGUGUAGCGGUGAAAUGCGUAGAUAUGUGGAGGAACACCAGUGGCGAAGGCGACUCUCUGGUCUGUAACUGACGCUGAGGCUCGAAAGCGUGGGGAGCAAACAGG